rnacentral:tRNA from 1 species
UUAAUUGAAGCCAAAAAGAGGCAUGUUACUGUUAAUGACAUAAUUGAAUAAAUAUUCCAAUUAAG